UACAGAGGUGGCAAGCGUUGUUCGGAAUCACUGGGCUUAAAGGGUGCGUAGGCGGCGCGGAAAGUUGGGUGUGAAAUCCCUCGGCUCAACCGAGGAACUGCGCCCAAAACUACCGUGCUCGAGGGAGAUAGAGGUGAGCGGAACUUAGGGUGGAGCGGUGAAAUGCGUUGAUAUCCUAAGGAACACCGGUGGCGAAAGCGGCUCACUGGAUCUCUUCUGACGCUGAGGCACGAAAGCUAGGGUAGCGAACGGG
rnacentral:rRNA from 1 species